UAAAUUUAUUUACAACAUAUUUAUUUACUAUAUGCAGUAGAAUGGGUGGAUAGAAACAUAAAUUUUUAAAAAAUAAAAAAGUUUAUAAACCCUAAACCCAAAUAUAAACACAAAACCCAAAUAUAAACUUUCAAAUAUUAAACCCUAAACUCUAUUCAUUAAACCCUAACUCAAAUAUAAACCCUAAACCCAAAUAUAAACACAAAACCCAAAUAGAAUGAAACAAAAUAAAUAACAUAGUACACAUUGAUGGAACUAUAAAAUAUCUAUGGUUGCAUGAAAGAAGUUAAUGUUGACCCCAACCAUACCCUCUCACCUUCUAAAUACUAAACC
rnacentral:lncRNA from 1 species